rnacentral:rRNA from 1 species
AGGACGAACGCUGGCGGCGUGCUUAACACAUGCAAGUCGAACGGUAAGGCCCCUUCGGGGGUACACGAGUGGCGAACGGGUGAGUAACACGUGAGCAACCUGCCCUUGACUCUGGAAUAACAGUUGGAAACAGCUGCUAAUACCGGAUAUGACCUCGAUCGACAUCGAUCUUAGUGGAAAGCUCCGGCGGUCAAGGAUGGGCUCGCGGCCUAUCAGCUUGUUGGUGAGGUAACGGCUCACCAAGGCUUCGACGGGUA